UAUCGAAAUCGUAGGCGAAGGGUUGUCGCUGGCCUCUCGGGGCAUGUGCACGCCCGAGCCCUUGAAUUCCAAACACACCUGUGAACCCACCGUAGGCCUUCGGGCCUAUGUCUUAUCAUAUAAUCUUGAAUGUCUAAUAGAAUGUAAACCCAUUUCCGUCGCCUUGAAAACGUGACGGAAGAAAACUUAUACAACUUUCAACAACGGAUCUCUUGGCUCUCGCAUCGAUGAAGAACGCAGCGAAAUGCGAUAAGUAAUGUGAAUUGCAGAUUUUCAGUGAAUCAUCGAAUCUUUGAACGCACCUUGCGCCCCUUGGUAUUCCGAGGGGCAUGCCUGUUUGAGUGUCAUUAAAUCCUCAACCCCUCCGAUUCGUUUCGGGSSGGGAWUKGAMYUUGGAGCGUGCUGGCGAAGGUCGGCUCCUCUUUAAAUGCAUCAGCGGAGAAAAUGCCUUUUGCGCCUCUGGCCGUUCAGCGUGAUAAUGACGUUGCGCUGCGGUCGAGCUCAAGGUCCGCUUCUAAAGGUCCUCGGACGAUAUCAAUAUGUUUUGACCUCAAAUCAGGUAGGACUACCCGCUGAAC
rnacentral:rRNA from 1 species